AGCGAACGCUGGCGGCAGGCUUAACACAUGCAAGUCGAACGGGCACUUCGGUGUCAGUGGCAGACGGGUGAGUAACGCGUGGGAACAUACCUCUUGGUUCGGAACAACACAGGGAAACUUGUGCUAAUACCGGAUAAGCCCUUACGGGAAGGAUUUAUCGCCGAGAGAUUGGCCCGCGUCUGAUUAGCUAGUUGGUGUGGUAAAAGACGCACCAAGGCGACGAUCAGUAGCNGGUCUGAGAGGAUGAUCAGCCACAUUGGGACGUGAGACACGGCCCAAACUACCUACGGGAGGGCAGCAGUGGGGAAGUAAUUGGUACGAAUGGGCGGCAAGACCUCGAUCCACGCCACUGCCGCGUGAGUGAU
rnacentral:rRNA from 1 species